AAGUCCCUAACCAAGGCUGAUUUCCAGAGGUGCCUGCACAGAUGAGGAUGCACUGUGUCCACCCUCUCCUUCCCUACCAGGGGGUCUGCGGGUGCCCUUUCCGAGGCGCGGCCACAGGAGGGCGCUGCGCACUGACGGGAAUCCCGCCUGCCCCGGCCCCGGAGCUCGCUCGGGAACGAUUCCAAGUGAUUCCAGACUGAUGGAGCACUCUUAGCUCCAUCUGCAUUACACAUGCCAAGAUUUAUUGGAUUCCAAUAGGAGAAAGAGUGAAAAAGCCCAUCCGCGGAGUAAUAAGAGAAAUACGUUCUAUCUAGCAACUACAGAUAUUAACAAAAUUAAAAAUUAUUAAGCUGCAUGCUCAAUUGCAAAUAUGUCUUAAGGCCAUGCCAUUUUUAUUCAUAAGAUAGUCUAAUUCACACCAUGAACUUGCAGCCGUAU
rnacentral:lncRNA from 1 species